GACGAGCGCGGCUUCCUCGCUUGACACUGUACUGUGUCAAGCCAGCAAGCCGAGUUUGCUAGGUGCAUGAAUGCCGAACGGAGGACGAAUACGUGAGUAACCUACCUUUGACUCUGCGAUAAGCCCCGUAAACUCGCUCUAAUACCACAUACGACCAAUCUCCGCAUGCCUUGUUGGUGGAAAGCUUUAUACAUGGCUUAUACAUGGCCUCACGGCCUAUCAUCUUGUUGGUGAGGUAACGACUCACCAACGCGACGACGGGUAGCCGGCCUGAGAGGGUGACCGGCCACACUGGUACUGAGACACCGCCCAGACUCCUACUGAAGACAGCAGUGGGCAAUAUUGCACAAUGCUCGCAAGCCUGAUGCAGCGACUCCGCAUGAGGCAUGACUGCCUUCACCUUGUAAACCUCUGUUAGCAGGGAAGAAUAUAUAUUGACCGUACCUGCAUAGAAAGCGCCCGCUAACUACUUCCCAGCAGCCACUCUAAUACACUAGGGCUCCACCGUUGUCCGAAAUUAUUGGGCGUAAAGACCUUGUAGGCGGUUUGUCGCGUCUGCUGUGAAAGGCCGGGGCUUAACCCCGUGUAUUGCAGUGGGUACGGGCAGACUAGAGUGCAGUAAGGGAGACUGGAAUUCCUGGUGUAGCGGUGGAAUGCGCAGAUAUCAGGAGGAACACCGAUGGCGAAGGCAGGUCUCUGGGCUGUAACUGACGCUGAGAAGCGAAAGCAUGGGGAGCGAACAGGAUUAGAUACCCUGGUAGUCCAUGCCGUAAACGUUGGGCACUAGGUGUGGGGGACAUUCCAGCGUUUUCCGCGCCGUAGCUAACGCAUUAAGUGCCCCGCCUGGGGAGUACGGCCGCAAGGCUAGAACUCAAAGAAAUUGACGGGGGCCCGCACAAGCGGCGGAGCAUGCGGAUUAAUUCGAUGCGACGCGAAGAACCUUACCAAGGCUUGACAUAUACUGGACCGCAUCAGAGAUGGUGUUUCCCUUCGGGGCUGGUAUACAGGUGGUGCAUGGUUGUCGUCAGCUCGUGUCGUGAGAUGUUGGGUUAAGUCCCGCAACGAGCGCAACCCUCGUUCUAUGUUGCCAGCACGUUAUGGUGGGGACUCAUAGGAGACUGCCGGGGUCAACUCGGAGGAAGGUGGGGAUGACGUCAAAUCAUCAUGCCCCUUAUGUCUUGGGCUUCACGCAUGCUACAAUGGCCGGUACAGAGGGUUGCGAUACUGUGAGGCGGAGCUAAUCCCUAAAAGCCGGUCUCAGUUCGGAUUGGGGUCUGCAACUCGACCCCACGAAGUCGGAGUCGCUAGUAAUCGCAGAUCAGCAACGCUGCGGUGAAUACGUUCCCGGUCCU
rnacentral:rRNA from 1 species